UACGUAGGUGGCAAGCGUUGUCCGGAAUUAUUGGGCGUAAAGCGCUUGUAGGCGGUCUGUCGCGUCUGCUGUGAAAAUCCGGGGCUCAACCCCGGACUUGCAGUGGGUACGGGCAGGCUAGAGUGUGGUAGGGGAGACUGGAAUUCCUGGUGUAGCGGUGAAAUGCGCAGAUAUCAGGAGGAACACCGAUGGCGAAGGCAGGUCUCUGGGCCACUACUGACGCUGAGAAGCGAAAGCAUGGGGAGCGAACAGG
rnacentral:rRNA from 1 species